rnacentral:rRNA from 1 species
GAUGAACGCUGGCGGCGUGCCUAAUACAUGCAAGUCGAGCGAACAGACGAGGAGCUUGCUCCUCUGACGUUAGCGGCGGACGGGUGAGUAACACGUGGAUAACCUACCUAUAAGACUGGGAUAACUUCGGGAAACCGGAGCUAAUACCGGAUAAUAUAUUGAACCGCAUGGUUCAAUAGUGAAAGACGGUUUUGCUGUCACUUAUAGAUGGAUCCGCGCCGCAUUAGCUAGUUGGUAAGGUAACGGCUUACCAAGGCAACGAUGCGUAGCCGACCUGAGAGGGUGAUCAGCCACACUGGAACUGAGACACGGUCCAGACUCCUACGGGAGGCAGCAGUAGGGAAUCUGCCGCAAUGGGCGAAAGCCUGACGGAGCAACGCCGCGGGAGUGAUGAAGGUCUUCGGAUCGUAAAACUCUGUUAUUAGGGAAGAACAAAUGUGUAAGUAACUAUGCACGUCUUGACGGUACCUAAUCAGAAAGCCACGGCUAACUACGUG